UACAGAGGCCUCGAGCGUUAGGCGGAAUCACUGGGCUUAAAGCGUGUGUAGGCGGACUUCUAAGUACCUUGUGAAAUCCCACGGCUCACCCGUGGAACUGCUUGGUAUACUGGUCGUCUUGAGCCUUCUGGGGGCGAGUGGAACAAAUGGUGGAGCGGUGAAAUGCGUAGAUAUCAUUUGGAACGCCAAUGGUGAAAACAACUCGCUGGGGAAGUGCUGACGCUGAGACACGAAAGCCAGGGGAGCGAACGGG
rnacentral:rRNA from 1 species